AGUGAACGCUGGCGGUAGGCCUAACACAUGCAAGUCGAACGGCAGCACAGUAAGAGCUUGCUCUUACGGGUGGCGAGUGGCGGACGGGUGAGGAAUACAUCGGAAUCUACUUUUUCGUGGGGGAUAACGUAGGGAAACUUACGCUAAUACCGCAUACGCCCUACGGGUGAAAGCAGGGGAUCUUCGGACCUUGCGCGAUUGAAUGAGCCGCUGUCGGAUUUGCUAGUUGGCGGGGUAAAGGCCCACCAAGGCGAGGAUCCGUAGCUGGUCUGAGAGGAUGAUCGGCCACACUGGAACUGGGACACGGUCCAGACUCCUACGGGAGGCAGCAGUGUGGAAUAUUGGACAAAGGGCGCGAACCUGAUCCAGCCAUACCGCGUGGGUGAAGAAGGCCUUCGGGUUGUAAAGCCCUUUUGUUGGGAAAGAAAAGCAGCAGGUUAAUACCCCGCUGUUCUGACGGUACCCAAAGAAUAAGCACCGGCUAACUUCGUG
rnacentral:rRNA from 1 species